UUCCGUGAUUAGCGCCCACCUCUCCACUCAAUCCCUUCCCCGGUAGGAAGUAGGAACCCUCCCGCCGCUACUAGGGAUAUGGAAGCCACCUUCGGGGUCCUCGCGGACACAUGAGAUGCCUGCCGUCACCACGCACACGAGCCACGGUGGGGGAGAGAGGGAGAGGUGGCCAGCCAUGGCAAGGCGUCGGUCAUCCGGCGAGCGUGGAGAAAUUGGGACAGGAGGCGCGACCGUUGGGGCUCGGGGCAUGGGGGCGCCCGAUGUGGCGUUUGCUGGCGGGUCUAAGAAGGGGCCGGCAGAUCCGGCCGGAGCUAUGCACGUGGUGUGGCGAUUGUGGUCCGCGCGUGCUGCUCGUGGUAGGGACAAAGCGACGAUCGCUGGCCUUAUCUACAACCCCUUUGAGGACUGCGUCACGCACACCCCACUGAGCUCUACCAGAUUGUCGGUGCCACGCGCUCCCCUCACCCUGCCUGACGCAACCGGUGACUACCCUACCCGUCGCCGGUGGACUAGACGGCCUGGACGCGGGCGGUAGGCACCGCCAGCACUCCAAUCUCCGUCGACACCGUGGUCUAAACGACGCCGCAGACAAGUCCCCUUGGAACGCCCCAUCCUGGACGAUAUAAUAUGGUUCAAGCAUAAUCACGGUGAUACGAUUAUAUGGAGUAGAAGGGAGGAAGUUGUGUCUCAUCAGCAUUGUGUUCUGCAUCUAAAUAAAGCACAUCCAAGAAUCACUGUCCAAUGUCUCUCUUUCGAUUGAUAGCAUCGGUAGCAGGAUAUAACAUCAGGUUACAGCCUUUGUGGUACAGGAAGGACCGAAGGAGGAAGUUGGUGAUAUACAGAGGGAAGUAGAAUUGGGACGAGGGAUAGAGAUACAACCAGCAAAAGCGCCGAGGAACAGUAAGCUAACUCAGUAAGUAUUCUUCAGGUGCUAUUUUCUUCACCAGUUAACUCCUUCAAGUAUGCGUUCUUGUCAUCAGUACACACAGCCUCCUGUUGCAGAUUUAUACUAAGUUGUACUCGAUGCCAAACGGGGAGCAAGUCCAGGAGGGAACGGGGAGCGCAGAUGAGAGUGGCGACUCGCAAUCCCCCGACGACGAUGAGGAGGACAGUGAUGACUCGGACGAUAGUGAAGAAGUCGACUCACCACCUCGCUCAGAACACUGAUCCAAACAGUCUCAAGACCCUACAGGUGGGCGUAGCAAGGCAGCUCCUCCAAGCACACAAGUGCAAAAACACACUCGGACUUCAUGUUCGGAACCGUCUAAAAAGGCCGCCAAGCAGCCCAUGGUCGCCCCCUCAAAGCCUCGGAAGGCCUUGCCCAAGAUCAAGAUGUACGUUCCCGUCGCUUCUGCUGCUGUGACUUCUGCGACCUCCAUGGACAUUUACAAGGAUCAAGAUGAUGAGGAAACUGAAGACGCGACCCUUCUAGAGCGGCACCACAAGAUGUCAUUGAGCUUCGAAACGACGACGAAGACGUGCCCCAGAAGACCACGGGAAGAAAGGACAGGACUUCGAGCAGGAGGGCGCCUGCCAGCUGUUGGAAAUAUGCCCUAGAGGCAAUAAUAAAAUGGUUAUUAUUGUAUUUCCUUGUUCAUGAUAAUUGUCUAUUGUUCAUGCUAUAAUU